AUUGAACGCUGGCGGCAGGCCUAACACAUGCAAGUCGAACGAGUGGCGGACGGGUGAGUAAUGUCUGGGAACCUGCCUGAUGGAGGGGGAUAACUACUGGAAACGGUAGUUAAUACCGCAUACCAUCCGAUGUGCGCAGAUGGGAUUAGCUUGUUGGUUGGGUAACGGUUCACCAAGGCGACGAUCGCGAGCUGGUCUGAGAGGAUGACCAGCCACACUGGAACUGAGGCACGGUCCAGAAUCCUCCGGGAGGCAGCAGUGGGGAAUAUUGGACAAUGGGCGCAAGCCUGGUACAGCCAUGCCGCGUGUAUGAAGAAGGCCUUCGGGUUGUAAAGUACUUUCAGCGGGGAGGCGUUACCCGCAGAAGAAGCACCGGCUAACUCCGUGCCAGCAGCCGCGGUAAUUC
rnacentral:rRNA from 1 species